GACGAACGCUGGCGGCGUGCUUAACACAUGCAAGUCGAACGGAAAGGCCCUGCUUUUGUGGGGUGCUCGAGUGGCGAACGGGUGAGUAACACGUGAGUAACCUGCCCUUGACUUUGGGAUAACUUCAGGAAACUGGGGCUAAUACCGGAUAGGAGCUCCUGCUGCAUGGUGGGGGUUGGAAAGUUUCGGCGUUUGGGGAUGGACUCGCGGCUUAUCAGCUUGUUGGUGGGGUAGUGGCUUACCAAGGCUUUGACGGGUAGCCGGCCUGAGAGGGUGACCGGCCACAUUGGGACUGAGAUACGGCCCAGCCUCCUACGGGAGGCAGCAGUGGGGAAUAUUGCACAAUGGGCGGAAGCCUGAUGCAGCAACGCCGCGUGCGGGAUGACUGCCUUCGGGUUGUAAACCGCUUUCGCCUGUGACGAAGCGUGAGUGACGGUAAUGGGUAAAGAAGCACCGGCUAACUACGUG
rnacentral:rRNA from 1 species